GAGGGUAUAGCUCAAGUGGUAGAGCACAUACUUAGCAUGUAUGAGGCCCUGGGUUCAAUCCCCGGUAACUCCU
rnacentral:tRNA from 1 species